CCUACGGGUGGCAGCAGUGGGGAAUAUUGGACAAUGGGCGAAAGCCUGAUCCAGCCAUGCCGCGUGUGUGAAGAAGGCCUUCGGGUUGUAAAGCACUUUCAGUGGGGAAGAAAGCCUUGGGGCUAAUACCCUCGAGGAAGGACAUCGCCCACAGAAGAAGCACCGGCUAACUCCGUGCCAGCAGCCGCGGUAAUACGGAGGGUGCGAGCGUUAAUCGGAAUUACUGGGCGUAAAGCGCGCGUAGGCGGUCUGAUAAGCCGGUUGUGAAAGCCCCGGGCUCAACCUGGGAACGGCAUCCGGAACUGUCAGGCUAGAGUGCAGGAGAGGAAGGUAGAAUUCCCGGUGUAGCGGUGAAAUGCGUAGAGAUCGGGAGGAAUACCAGUGGCGAAGGCGGCCUUCUGGACUGACACUGACGCUGAGGUGCGAAAGCGUGGGUAGCAAACAGGAUUAGAUACCCGAGUAGUC
rnacentral:rRNA from 1 species